UACGGGGGGAGCAAGCGUUGUUCGGAUUUACUGGGCGUAAAGGGCGCGUAGGCGGCCAGCACAAGUCAGUUGUGAAAUCUCCGAGCUUAACUCGGAACGGUCAACUGAUACUGUGCGGCUAGAGUGCGGAAGGGGCAACUGGAAUUCUUGGUGUAGCGGUGAAAUGCGUAGAUAUCAAGAGGAACACCUGCGGCGAAGGCGGGUUGCUGGGCUGACACUGACGCUGAAGCGCGAAAGCCAGGGGAGCGAACGGG
rnacentral:rRNA from 1 species